UGGCAUCUGAAGAUCCUGGGGUGAAGAAAAUUGGACCUUUGAGAGCCCCUGGAAGAGCUACCAGCUAUCACCAACUUCAUAAAGUUAAGUCACCAUUUGGUUGAUUAUACCCAGAAUUUGCAUGAGAAAUCCCGCAAGAAACCUCCAGAUUAUUCAAGAGCGGAAUGAAGCUGCGUGUCGCGUAUCAUUGAAGAGUGUCGUCGUACGGCCGAGUACCUCAUAAAGUACGACACUGCUGUUGCGUCAUUCCAAAUAGAACGACGCGACUUUGAAGUUCAAAAGGACCAUGUCGUGGCGCACAACAAGUCGUUGCAUCGCCAACUUGGAGAGAUGAAGGGACAAGAAGUCAAAUUGAAGAACGCUCAUUGCCGCCUGGAUAAAGUGGAGAAAGACCUUGAAAAGCAGUCCAAGAUGCGGCGUGACUUUGCAGUCGGGCUAGCUGAAGCCAUGACAACUAUCUGGAGCUAGGAGGAGCGUCUGAAAGAGUUGCAGGAGCGUCUAAAAGAGUAGCAGGAGCAUCUCUAGGAGUUGACAGAUGCAGCGCGAGCGCUGGUGGAUGAGGUGGAGCCGCCCGAAGAGGGGAGUGACACCCGUCCCUUGGUUACCAGAAUAAAGGAUGCGGCUGGUAAUUUCAAUAACCUGCUCCACAGCAUGGCGAAAAUCGUGUCCAAGCAAUUGUUAGCUAUAGUAAGUCAUUUUACCCCAAGGUGGACCUGUUUGUAGUCGCUGAGGGCAUCACUACAGAUUGCACCGAUGAAGCAUACCAGCAGCAUCUGCAAAAUAGAGUAGUGUUUUGGCUCCCUCUGUUUCUGUAACCGUCUUUUGAACUUGUAACUCAAAACGAUUCUGUGCCGAAUAGAGAAUAUCAGUCUGAUUU